UCCUACGGGGCGCAGCAGUGGGGAAUAUUGCGCAAUGGAGGAAACUCUGAUGCAGUGAUGCCGCGUGCAGGAAGAAGGAUUCCGGAUUGUAAAGUGCUUUCGACAGGGAAGAUAAUGACAGUACCUGUAGAAUAAGCCCCGGCUAACUACGUGCCAGCAGCCGCGGUAAUACGUAGGGAGCAAGCGUUAUCCGGAUUUAUUGGGUGUAAAGGGAGCGCAGACGGGAAGGCAAGUCAGAUGUGAAAUCCCAGGGCUUAACUGUGGAACUGCAUCUAAAACUAUCAUUCUGGAGUGCUGGAGAGGAA
rnacentral:rRNA from 1 species